rnacentral:rRNA from 1 species
AAGUAGCACUUCGUUCUGAUGAAAGAUUAACUUUGACUUCCAAACUACAUAUGGUAAUUCAUACAUGAAUUGUGAUCACCCUAUAGAUAUAACAUAACGUUUAAAACGUUAAGCUUCAUCUUUAGAACGGACACUUAGUCUAAGGAAUAUCCCACAACACCAAUGGAUUAUUUUGUCUACAGCUAGGAAACUAGGCAACAGAGAUAGUCAAUUACAAGUGACUAAAUAAGGUGCCAGCAGUCGCGGUUAAACCUAGUUCUUGAAGUUAAUAUACACAAUUAAAAGAGAUAAACCAUAUAUUUGACCUUAACUUUACUUGUAAAGUUGAAAUUAGCACUUCCAUAAGAUAUCCAAAUAGGUCUUUUAUUACUCUCAACAAACCACACCUACAAGACAGGGAUUAGAUACCCCAUUAUUGAGUGGCCCUACACAACAAACUCUAAAAACGAAAGUUCCAAACUUAAAGAACGUGGCGGUGUUCUACAACCUUAUUAGGGGAUCCUGUGGCUUAAUUCGAUAACCCACGAACAAGCUUGCUUA